AUGAUGCCUGUGUGAUGUUUUGAAGCAGAGAUAGAAGGAUUUAUAUUGCUACAUGGUUGCUAGGGUGCUCUAUAUGGUUGCUAUGGUGUGACUAUACAGUUUAUGGGGUGAUAUUUAAAGAUUAUUUACCAGCCUGAAUGCAAAAAGCCCAAGCCAGUGUUUCUAUAUAGUUAUUUUUGCUGAGAUACAGUUUUUAAAUCUAGUUAAACAGUUGCUAGGGGGCUAAAAUUGGUUGCUAGGGCAUGGAUAUGAAGUUGUUAUGUCACUACUUAUGGACUGCUUGAUAGGCCGAGUCAAAAGAGCCCUCUCCCAAGCCUCUAUGACUUUCUGAUCCAAAGAUAUGAUGUCAGAUAGUUUUUCCAAUGUUAAGUCAAUGGGAUAUUUUCACACAUUUUCUUCGCCCGCUGUACGAUUAUCGUAAGUCCGAUUGCUUAGAAAAGUCAUAGCACACCUCUCCUCAAUAUCCCGCACGAUUUGACACCUCAUUCAUGGGUCUGUGACAAAAAAUGCGGGAGGAGUAGCGUGCCAAAGUUUUGUCAAGGCGAAUAGUAAUAGUAACACUAGAAGGUACAUUUCCUGAAGAAAAUGUGAGUGGUGCUUGCAGUGGCAAAACUCUGCGCCCUGUAGCCACCCAUGAUGCCUGUGUGAUGUUUUGAAGCAGAGAUAGAAGGAUUUAUAUUGCUACAUGGUUGCUAGGGUGCUCUAUAUGGUUGCUAUGGUGUGACUAUAUAGUUUAUGGGGUGAUAUUUAAAGAUUAUUUACCAGCAUGAAUGCAAAAAGCCCAAGCCAGUGUUUCUAUAUAGUUAUUUUUGCUGAGAUACAGCUUUUAAAUGUAGUUAAACAGUUACUAGGGGGCUAAAAUUGGUUGCUAGGGCAUGGAUAUGAAGUUGUUAUGUCACUACUUAUGGACUGCUUGAUAGGCCGAGUCAAAAGAGCCCUCUCCCAAGCCUCUAUGACUUUCUGAUCCAAAGAUAUGAUGUCAGAUAGUUUUUCCAAUGUUAAGUCAAUGGGAUAUUUUCACACAUUUUCUUCGCCCGCUGUACGAUUAUCGUAAGUCCGAUUGCUUAGAAAAGUCAUAGCACACCUCUCCUCAAUAUCCCGCACGAUUUGACACCUCAUUCAUGGGUCUGUGACAAAAAAUGCGGGAGGAGUAGCGUGCCAAAGUUUUGUCAAGGCGAAUAGUAAUAGUAACACUAGAAGGUACAUUUCCUGAAGAAAAUGUGAGUGGUGCUUGCAGUGGCAAAACUCUGCGCCCUGUAGCCACCCAUGAUGCCUGUGUGAUGUUUUGAAGCAGAGAUAGAAGGAUUUAUAUUGCUACAUGGUUGCUAGGGUGCUCUAUAUGGUUGCUAUGGUGUGACUAUAUAGUUUAUGGGGUGAUAUUUAAAGAUUAUUUACCAGCAUGAAUGCAAAAAGCCCAAGCCAGUGUUUCUAUAUAGUUAUUUUUGCUGAGAUACAGCUUUUAAAUGUAGUUAAACAGUUACUAGGGGGCUAAAAUUGGUUGCUAGGGCAUGGAUAUGAAGUUGUUAUGUCACUACUUAUGGACUGCUUGAUAGGCCGAGUCAAAAGAGCCCUCUCCCAAGCCUCUAUGACUUUCUGAUCCAAAGAUAUGAUGUCAGAUAGUUUUUCCAAUGUUAAGUCAAUGGGAUAUUUUCACACAUUUUCUUCGCCCGCUGUACGAUUAUCGUAAGUCCGAUUGCUUAGAAAAGUCAUAGCACACCUCUCCUCAAUAUCCCGCACGAUUUGACACCUCAUUCAUGGGUCUGUGACAAAAAAUGCGGGAGGAGUAGCGUGCCAAAGUUUUGUCAAGGCGAAUAGUAAUAGUAACACUAGAAGGUACAUUUCCUGAAGAAAAUGUGAGUGGUGCUUGCAGUGGCAAAACUCGCCCCUCUGUUGCUAGGGUGUUGCAAUGAGGUUGCUAUGGUGGUUACUAGGGUACCCUGGGUGGUUGCUAGGGCGGUUGCUAGGGUCCCCAUGAUGGUUGCUAAGGUACCCUCGGUGGUUGCUAGGGUAAUCUGGGUUGUUGCUAGGGUCCCCAGGAUGGUUGCUAGGGCCGUUGCUAGGGUACCCAGGGUGGUUGCUAGGGUAAUCGGGGUGGUUGCUAGGGUGUUGCUAUGUGGUUGCUAGGGUACCCAGGGUGGUUGCUAGGGCGGUUGCUAGGGUCCCCAUGAUGGUUGCUAGGGCCGUUGCUAGGGUACUCAGGGUGGUUGCUAGGGUAAUUGGGGUGGUUGCUAGGGUGUUGCUAUGUGGUUGCUAGGGUACCCACGGUGGUUGCUAGGGUUCCCGGGGUGGUUGCUAGGGCAGUUGCUAGGGUCCCCAUGAUGGUUGCUAGGGCCGUUGCUAAGGUACCCAGGGUGGUUGCUAGGGUAAUUGGGGCGGUUGCUAGGGUGUUGCUAUGUGGUUGCCAGGGUACCCGGGGUGGUUGCUAGGGCGGUUGCUAGGGUAACCUGGGUGGUUGCUAGGCAGUUGCUACGGUACUUGGGGUGGUUGCUAAGGUGUUGCUAGGCGGUUGCUAGGGUGUUUUGGCUGGUUGCUAGGCAGUUGCUAUGGUCUCCUGGGUGGUUGCUAUGAUGUUACUAGGUGGUUGGUAGUUGUCACAGAGGGUCACUAUGUAGUUAUUAUAGAGUUCUUAGCCCAUUUGAGCACUUAGCUAAUCACUAUUAGCAUGUAGCUAAUCACUGCUAGCAUGACUAGCAUGUUGGAAGUCCAGUGUGCUAGCAUGAGUCAAAACAUCCAACCGCCAUGUCUGUACGAUGUUCUGAUGCAGAGAUAUAGGUUGUGCAAAACGGUUGCUAGGGUACUCUGUUUGGUUGCUAUGGAGUGGCCUGGCAGCUUCCAAUGGUAAUACUCCAAAGGCUGCUUGACAAUAUAAACCAACCCCCAUGCCUCUACGAUGUUCUGAUGCAGAGAUAUAGUUCUUGCAAAACGGUUGCUAGGGUACUGUGUUUGGUUGCUAGGGAGUGGCCUGGCAGCUGUCAAUGAUGAUACUCCAAUGGUCGCUUGCUAAUAUAAACAAACCCCCAUGCUUCUAUGUCUUUCAGAUGUUAAGAUAUCUCUCUAUACUUUGGGUUGCUAGGUAGCUCUUAAUGGUUGCUAGGGCGUGGCUAGGUUGUCUUGAAGGAGAUACAUGAUUGGCCGUUUGCUGCCCGAGUCAAACGAGCCCACCCUCAUGUUUCUAUGACACUUCUAUCCAAAGUUAUUCAUUUGAUCUUUUUGAAUGGAAGUCUAUGGGGCUUGUUGCUAUGGUGCUCUAUAUGGUUGCUAGGGCGUGGCUUGAUAGAUUCACAGUGAUCCUGAGAGACUGAUUGGUUGCCUGAUUAAUAUGAGCCCACCCCCUUGUCUCUAUGACACUGUGAUCCAGAGUUAUGUUCAAUACAAAAUCCCUAUGUAAUGUCCCACAGUAGGAUGAGCCCUCCCUAUACUUUGUAUUAGGGGCAUUUUUGGGGGGCUCUUGCGCCCCAGGGGUACAACUUAUACCCCACUGCGGGGUAUGUUCUCGCACAGCCUGAUAGCCUCUCCAAAUGUGGUGAUUCACAUGUUUCUGCGAAAUUCUGUCUCGGAGCUACGAUCCGUCAAAGUUGGCCGCAAUGCAUUGUCUAUGCGAUUUUUCGCCCGUUUUUUCGCCCGGUGUACGAACAUCGUACGCCCGAUCGCUUAUAAAAGUCAUAGCACACCAUUCCCGAUUAGGCCGCACGAUUUGACGCCUGUUUCGUUGGUCUGUGACAAAAACUGCGGGACUAGUUACGCGCCGAAAUUUGUACGGAUCUAGAAGAAGAAGAAUAAUAAGUAUGGAGAAUAGUAAUAGUGAUGCCUUGCCUCCGGCAAGCACCACUAACUAGAAGGUACAUUUCCUGAAGAAAAUGUGAGUGGUGCUUGCAGUGGCAAAACUCGCCCCUCUGUUGCUAAGGUGUGGUUGCUAGGGUACCCGGGGUGGUUUCUAGGGCGGUUGCUAGGGUCCCCAUGAUGGUUGCUAGGGCCGUUGCUAGGGUACCCAGGGUGGUUGCUAGGGUAAUCGGGGUGGUUGCUAGGGUGUUGCUAUGUGGUUGCUAGGGUACCCGGGGUGGUUGCUAGGGCGGUUGCUAGGGUCCCCAUGAUGGUUGCUAGGGCCGUUGCUAGGGUACCCAGGGUGGUUGCUAGGGUAAUCGGAGCGGUUGCUAGGGUGUUGCUAUGUGGUUGCUAGGGUACCCGGGGUGGUUGCUAGGGCGGUUGCUAGGGUCCCCAUGAUGGUUGCUAGGGCCGUUGCUAGGGUACCCAGGGUGGUUGCUAGGGUAAUUGGGGCGGUUGCUAGGGUGUUGCUAUGUGGUUGCUAGGGUAACCGGGGUGGUUGCUAGGGCGGUUGCUAUGGUAACCUGGGUGGUUGCUAGGCAGUUGCUAUGGUACUUGGGGUGGUUGCUAAGGUGUUGCUAGGCGGUUGCUAGGGUGUUUUGGCUGGUUGCUAGGCAGUUGCUAUGGUCUCCUGGGUGGUUGCUAUGAUGUUACUAGGUGGUUGGUAGUUGUCACAGAUGGUCACUAUGUAGUUAUUAUAGAGUUCUUAGCCCAUUUGAGCACUUAGCUAAUCACUAUUAGCAUGUAGCUAAUCACUGCUAGCAUGACUAGCAUGUUGGAAGUCCAGUGUGCUAGCAUGAGCCAAAAAAUCCAACCGCCAUGUCUGUACGAUGUUCUGAUGCAGAGAUAUAGGUCGUGCAAAACGGUUGCUAGGGUACUCCGUUUGGUUGCUAUGGAGUGGCUUGGCAGCUGCCAAUGGUGAUACUCCAAAGGCUGCUCGCCAAUAUAAACCAACCCCCAUGUCUCUAGGAUGUUCUGAUGUGGAGAUAUAGAUCUUGCAAAACGGUUGCUAGGGUACUGUGUUUGGUUGCUAGGGAGUGGCCUGGCAGCUGCCAAUGAUGAUACUCCAAUGGUCGCUUGCUAAUAUAAACCAACCACCAUGCUUCUAUGUCUUUCAGAUGUUAAGAUAUC